CAUUUGCACCGUCUUGAGUGGUGGAUCUAAGAUUCGAACCCUAGCUGUCUGGCUGCAGGCUGUUGGUGCUCUUGGCCGCUCAACUAGAAUUCCUUUCAAACUACAGCAAUUAAGACAACUGGGGAGAACAGGGUCCAGAAAGCCCACCAUACAGCAAUCCUCUAAGCUCUCAGGCAACCACCCAAAGCAGACGAUUUGCUGAGACGGGGAUGUAGGGCCCAUAUCUGCCAGCGGAGCUCAGCCUGGAGAUCCCUUUUGGGGGCACCAGACCCGGGGGAGCAAGGAGAGAAGCCCAGGGAGUCUGACUCCACAGCCUGUCCUGCGCAUUGUGAACCUAAACCAUCCUGAAAGGAGCUCAAAUGGGCAAAGGAUUUUCAGAAACAAAGGUUGAGGCAGGAUGCUGGUGUUCAUGGAGACGCCGCAGUCAGAAUGGGUUUCCACCCCAUGCUUCCGGCAAUUGGGGAAUGUGACCGUAAACACAUCAGUAUCCAGAAGCGAGUUGCCAAAGACCCUCUGUUUCAGGAAGAACGCCCAGCCCUCCGUGCUCAGGGAGCAGCUGAGAUCAUCUGGUGCCAGGUGACGUCCGUGGCUCUGACAGUUCCUGGGAUCCAUUCCUCCGGGAGUUUGGACAGCGUCUGCUCUGAAGGUGGCCUUUCCCCUCCCAGAACAUGAUGUAAUUCUCCACUCCGAAGCCUCAAAUGGUUUGCAGAUUUUCUGGGGUGACUAUUUCCUGUGUUCUGAGGUCCCAGGCGGUGAGCGCAUUCUGCCCGAGAGCUGUGGACAGCGUUUACAGGGAAAGCUGCUCCUGUCGGUCAGGAGUGCUUGGUGGCAAGUAACAGAAAACACAACGUGGACCUCGAUGGACAGGAGAAAGCGGGGUUUGCUGGCUCAUGCAACGGAGCGUCUCUGGAAAGAUUUCAGGAUGUCAAGUUCCCUCUAAGGCUGCUUCCUUUCAAACGAGCAGGAGGACUAGCAGAAGCCGCAGGGAGCCAAGCAUGCUUCCUUGUUCAUUUCUAGCAGGAGCAGCUGUCCCAAAAUAUUAAAUGCAAGUCCUGGGCUGCUGGUUGGAUCAUCUAAGGUCAUAUGCCCAACUCUGAACCCCAUGACUGGUGUCCUUGGAGCUGGCAGAGAUCAUUUUGCUCUGAAGACUACAGACUGGCAGGAGAGCAUCACCUUCUUGCAAGGCUUCGCCUCCUCUGGUGUCGACAGCUUGUGCACCAGCACGUCAUUGAAGCCACGUUUGCAGAAGAGAGCGCGAUGAGCAGAGCCAGAGCUGAGGGCUGCCUCCCUGCUGCAGGGAUCCUCCUCAGGCCAGGACAGCUUUCAAUCACUCUACCCCUGGACCGGGAAAGCAAGCACCAUGUCUACCCCAGGACAUGGUUCCUUUCAGUUCCGACAUGACUUUUUCUGGAGUCAUUAAAAAUACCAAAUGUGGUUCAAUGCGGCAGUACAGUCAAUGGCAACUGCAUUCCCCUGGUUGCUCAAGUGUCCGCUGGGGCUAAGUUAUCCUCAUCUUCCGUCAAAAUACGUCAGUGGUCUCCAACCCGGUCUCCUCCUACUUGCUGCUCUAUCAUCUCAUCUACAGAGAAGCCAGAGUGAUCUUUUCAAAAUAUACAUGAAAGAUGCUCGAUGAAUAUUAAAUGAGAUCAUGUACGUCAAGCCCUUAUUAUGGUUCCUGGUGGAUGACGAAUGUUCAGUCACUGCUGGCUGCUGAUUCCAGUUCAUAGCCAAGGGAGGCAGAGUUCAGUUCCACUCAGAGGAGAGAUUCCACAUUUGAGGUCCACCAGGUGGGUGCUGAGAGGCUGUGAUGGGUCUGGUUCCUUAUUUCUCACUCCCUGUGUCUCUUCCCACCUGUAGCAAGUGCCCCGUAUUCCCUGGCCUAUCCGAGCUCCCCACAGCUGUGGACAGCCUCUGGGCCAGCUGACAGCUUCCCAUCUCACGUGCUUACAGAUGUCUUCCACACCCGUCACAGGGGCUUGCUCAGCUAUUUGUAUACAACCCAUGGAUGGGGGAGGGGGUGCUUAAUGCUCCUGGGGCCAACCAUCAACCAACAUAGAGGGGAGUUGUUGGGGAAAUGGUCAAGAUUUUUUGACCCCCAGUGAGACAAUUCUGAAGCACGUUCAUCCACCUUGUUUCCAGAAGGUCCUAUCUGGGAUGGAGUCCCUAUUACCCUCAACAGUAAUGUGCUUUUGGGUUUCCUCUCUUCCCCGACUUACCUCCCCCGCUUCUUUAAUGGCGACUUCUGGGAUAACUCCCCAAAACUACAUUCUCUCGAGUCCUGCUGUGGGAGACCCAUCACUACUCAACAUCUCUGAAGAAAUGGCUGCCCAGCCCAUUAGUCUAACAAAGCCCUAAAUGCCUCCCAUCGUUACACGCCAUCCCUGUGGUCUAUCAGCACCAGCUCACUGGCCCCAGACACAUCAAUGAUGGCUGAGGGGUGAGGAAUCCUUGGGUUAUCUGCAAAGACAAAGAGUUGAACGGGGAGGUACAUGUCGAUUUUAUCAUAGGGUUGCCUCUAUCCUUAUAGAAAUUGUCCCUAGGAAAUGGUUACAGUGACCUACCCCUCUCACUGUCAGAUGUGAUCAAGCCCUUAGAUCUCUGCAAAGAGCUACCCCUACCUUGUGGAGACCACCAUGCUGUGAAGACACAAAGGACUCCCUGCUUUGUGGCUCAGUUUUCUUGGUGUUGUACGUGUUUGUCAAAGAGGCUGUCAUGCAGAUGGCCAAAAAGCACGUGAAAAGAUGCUCAACAUCGCUAAU